UCACAGUAGAGCAGCAAAGUAACGGUGCCGCAAGACAAUUACUGCCUCUUUUCUUACAGAUAUAUUCACAUUGCUGCAGAUUAAUGAGGUAAUAUGUGUCAAGUCCCUUCCAGCUUGAGAUAUUCUACGAUUUUACAGAUUAUAUAACAGCUCUCAAGAGGAAGCUGCUAACAAGCCCAUCUGAUAUUCUGUGCCAGCUUUUUUAGUGGAGGCGUGCUGCAUUAGACUGAGCUCCACCCUGUUUGUCGAGCAAAGCGUUUGGAAAAUGACACAGCCUGAAGAAAAACGGGAAUUCAAAAUCUGGCUCCAGAUUUCCUUGUGAACCAGUCUGCUCCUCCGCAUCUCUAGAAAGGGACAGUGGGAGUGUGUUUUCAUGCAGAUGCUGAGUAAUCUCCCAGUAGCAUAGAGGACAUUGCAAAGAUUUGGAGUUUUGUGCAGUGUUUCUGCCUCUUGGUGUGGACAUGUGAGACCUUGGGGAGAAGAGUCCAGUGGAACUGAGCAACUGAUGUAGGUGACAGCCUGCAUCAGGUAUAGAAGAGGACAUCAGUGUACAGCCUAACAGCAUUUGAACGCUCAAUCCCAGUGAUUUUCUCAUAGGAAAUUAUUCUGGAGUGGCUCCUGCUGAUACAUUGUCCUGGAUUAAUUUCCUACACAGAUUCUCAGGUGAGGACUUCUCGCCUCUGCUGUAUUAGUGGCUUCAUUGUUCCUGACUAAGCUGUUUGGAUGCAGAAGGCAAGCAGGAUCAGGUUCUCUGUGCAGGAAACUUUGUGAUGCCAUGUUUUGACUCCUAUGUAGAAUGAAGACUUGUUUGAAAACGUGGGAAUUUCCUCCCCACAGAAUACAAUGUCCAAGUUUUUAUCAGCUGUUGCAGAACUGUGGUACUCUCUGGCAAUGGAGACUUUAUGCCAGCUCAAUACCUCAAGGGCAAGAGAAAGACGUCAUCAAGUUAUGCAAGCAGACCAUCUCACAGCUUCUCCUGUAAGCUUGGUCUUAUUUGACAAAUGAUUGCAUUUUUCAAAUUUGGGGUCUUUUUCCUUUCCUAAGGCAAGUUAAUGAGCAUGCAAUUAUUUAUCUUGUCAUGGUAUCUCAAGUGGAAACAAGGUGGCUGAAAUACCUGCAAGUAGUCAGAAUUAUGCCCUAGUCUUGUGUUGACCUCCUUUAAAUUACUUCUAAGUGUUCAGCAAUAGAUUAACUGAUGUGAGCCUUUUAUUCUGUAAUAGGAGCAUGCUUCUUAUUGUCAGUUAAGACAAUCUUAAGAACAAUGAGUUGUGUCACUCCCCUUAUGCUCAGAGAAGGCUUGAGGUAGUGAUCUGAGUAGUUUUGGCAUUCCAAAAUUUAAUUUUUUUUUAAUCUGAAGUUGGAUUGAGAAUAGCAUUUGAGUGUGAUUUUUUUCGUGUGCUUAAGUGUGUCUGAGGUUGGGACUGGAAGGUAUUAGCUAAUACCUAUGAAACACCUGUAGCAGCAACUAAAGGACAUGUGGAACUUAUUCCUUUACUGAGUCUGUGCUGAAGCACUUUUGCUGUGAGACUGAAGGUGACAUACUUACCCUUCCUAGUUCUCCAACCAUAGAAUUUGCCAUCGUUUUUCCAAACUUCACAGCACUGAUUCUGAAGAACUUCUCAUUAAACCAGCUGCACCCAA